rnacentral:misc_RNA from 1 species
UGUAGGAGCGAGCUUGCUCGCGAUCAGCGGUGUCUCAGGUUAGACCGCUAUCGCGAGCAAGCUCGCUCCUACA